UCUCUCUCUUGCCACCUCAACAAGAUGUGUCUGCUUUCGCUUCUGCCAUGAUUACAUAAAUUUUCUGAGGCCGCCCCAGCCACACAGAACUAAAGAGCUCCUGUGAGAUUCUGCUCCUUCCCAUGCAGAGCAGUGGUGUCCUGAGGAUGGACAGAGAAAUGGCCCUGACCACAAAUACAGCAAGAUGCAUUCUACCAAGUUUCCUAAAGUAAGGUGAGAUGGUGAACAUUUCUGCUUUGUACCAGGCCCUGUUACCACAUCAAUAAUCGAAGAGAGAAUGCCAGCCCUGGGCCCCAGGCAGCAUGAGAACUUUCAGAAAUGUUGUUAAUCUCCAGAUUGGAUUAAAACAAAAAAUUCUAAAGAAAAAGAAAACAUUCCUUCUACAAAUUAUUUGCCGCCACUAUUGAAAUCUGUCUGCCCUCAAAAGGCCUACAAUGGGAACACUGUAAUAAGUGUUUGGGUAUAGUAAAUGAGUUAAGAAAUUUAAUUUGUUUUAAAAUGCAUGGUCUAUUUCAUAGGACACUGGUGAACACUGGCACCUACAUUCAUCAGAGGGUGACUUGGGGGUGGGUGGAAGUUUGGGUCAUUUUGUUGAAAAUCUACAAUGUGUCAAAGGCUUUAUAUGUAUUUCCACUGAAUCUUCACCAUAAUCCUACACAGUGGGCAAUAGAAUCUCCACUUUGCAAAUAAGAAAUCUGGGACUAACAGAAAAUCACAUAGUAGCAGCUGAAUUGGUUCUGAAAGCCAUCAAAACCAUCUGCCUUUUAAAUCCAUUACAUUUCUCUCUAUAACUCACUAACUGAAGUCUGCUACAAGUUUGUGAAACAGAUGUGCUUUCAGGUGUGUUACAUCUGGAUGUGAAUACCAAGCUCUGCCCUUACCAACUCUGUAACUUUAGACAACUAUAUGCCUCUCUUAGUCUCUAUGUCCUCCUAUAUGAAACAGGGGGGUAACACUGAACCUUAGAAUACAAAACUAUUCUAAGGUUUUGUAAUAAUAUAUGUAAAUUGACAGGCUCAUAAUAGGUAGUCUGCAGAUAGAAGCCACAGUGAAUUAGAAACAUGUAUAUUUCCACUAAACCACACACAUUACAAUAAGCUAUAAAAAGAAGCAAUAAUUUAUAGGCUUGUAUUCUAGAUCAGAUUCCCUGGUAGGCCAGUAACAUCUGGGCCAGAAAUCCCUGGCAUGCACAGGUGAAAAUAAAUACACUCUUAACUACUCUUCAAGGAAAGUAAAGAAAUUUGGAGGACUGGUGAAUUGAAAGGUCAGGUUUUCAACAGACUGUAGUACAUUAUUACUUGUAACAGUUUUAACUGAUGCAAAUGAUAGCACAUAAAGUGCUAUGAAAACUCCUUGACAUCACAUGUAUUCAUUUAACAAGCCUCCAGAACUAUACUGUGUGCUUUAAGGAUUCAGAAAAUCUUUUAAACAUAUAGUUCUAUAAGCAAAGAUAUAAAGGGGUAAAAAAUGUAGCCAAAAUAUGAAAUCACCGAAGAUUUUAGUGAUUUAAAGGCUAAAUUUAAAGGCUAAAAAUAAAUUUCAUUAAAAUUCAUCACAUAAGAUAUGACUGUGUCUAGACCUAUCAAAAAUGCCAAUUCUUUGCCUUUCAAUUUUGAGUCUAAACAGGCUUUUUGUAUUAAGUGACCACUAUGAAGCAGCUAAGGCAACUUCUAAAAUGUUACCAAAUUUAUAAAUGAAACACCAAAUAUGUGUGGGUUAAAGUCCACAUACAAAUCUACUCUACUGCUCCUUUGGUGGGGAGGGAAAUGGUGAGCACGGAAGAACAGUUUAUCAUCCCAUAAAAGGUUCAUUUGUAGUGUUAACUGCUGUAACCUAUAUUUUAAUAAAACCAUGGUCCAUAGCUGGUCAAUAACCUCUUAAUCAUGGUCAAAAUACAUGACCAUUAUGUCCACAAAUUGUUAGUUUUCUCGCUAUAUUUUUUAAAAAAACAGCAGCCCUUCCUGCUGUAGAGUUAUUUUCCAAGAAAUAGUGAUGAACAUUUAACAGGAUAAAACAGAACUAAGGGGUGAGGAGGGAAAAAAGCAUUUAUACUUAAAGAGAAAAAAAAAAUGACUGUACACUUCAUAAAUUGGCUAUCAUCUACAAGGCCUGAUUUCUGUCUCAAAUAUAGCCAUGCCAAUAAGCUUUUUGGUCAAAAAGUUAUAGCAAUAAGCAUUUGGAAUUCAUUUUACCAGGUCCUUUGCUGAUCUUUAUUGUUACUUGUAGCUCCCUUUCCUCAUUUCAUUCCAUGCUCCUAAGACCAGUUCAUAGGAUAUGGAAUUGCUGAAAUACCUAUCAUUCUCUGUAAAGUGUUGUUUAACUUCUUCAGGUAUAAAUCCUGCUAGAUGAAAGCUUAAUUAUUUGUUCUCAAAUUUAAGUAGAAUACAAAUAUGAUAUGUUCAAAUUUAAAAGUACAAGAUGAAUUAUAAGUAAUGACCUGGAAAACCCAUAAUGAACAACAACAAAAAAGACAAGUUGGCUGGGCAUGGUGGCUCACAUCUGUAAUCCCAACACUUUGGAAGGCCGAGGUGGAUGGAUCACUUGAGCUCAGGAGUUCAAGUUCAGCCUAGGCAACAUGGUGAAACCCCAUCUCUACAAAAUUUAGUUGGGCAUGGUAGUGUGUGCCUGUUGUCCCAGCUACCUGGAGGGGGCUGAAGCCGGAGGAUCACUUGAGCCCGGGAGGUCAUGGCUGCAGUGAGCUGUGUUUGCACCACUGCACUCCAGCUUAGUCAACAAAGACCCUGCCUCAAAAACGAAAAAAAAAAGGCAAGUUGCAGAGUUGCAAGAUACAUAUAGUAUGACAAAAUAAAACUAUGCAUGCAUGUGUUCAUAUGUAUGAAGUAGCGUAGAGAAGUUAAUUUGGGGAGGGGAUGGUAGAAUUUUGAAACAUGUUAGAGUUAUUUUUCUGAAUUACAUCCUUUAUAAUUAUGUUUAUGUAAUUACGAUAUAUAUUUGUGACCUAAUUAAGUUUACUCAAAAAAGCGCCACUCCAUUAACAUUGUAAAAUUAAAUUCUUUUUAUUUUAACAGGCAAGAAUAAAGGCAUCUAUCACAUCUGAAACAUUUUCAGAUUUGGGUGCAUGAAUUAUACUCCUGAUUUAAUAAUGUUGAACCUGCUAUAAUCUUCAAAAUAUACCUUCAUUACCCAUCUCUUUCCAGUAUCCUUUGUUUUCACAUGUUCAAUAGUGGUGCUUUUACUUCACUCAAAUUGUAAGAGGAAAAAACUAAAUAAAAUA